CAGUAGUAUACAAAAUGCCGCGAGAAGGGAAAGGUAGCAGUGUUGUUGGGAUGAUUCAAAGCCUUUAUACCGAUCCGUUAAAAUGGCAGCUUGUGAAAAGUUGGACAAUGUUUGCUUUUGGAGUAUACCUUGCAAGGGAAUUUGCUGAUGUUGACCUGAUGGCUCCUCCUCCAAAUCUUUAAAUCAGGUGUUCCUGUAUAUUACACAAGUGAAGAUGGUGGAGGACAAGAUAUACUGGUCUGUGUGCAUUAAAGAAAAAAUAUCCACUUCAAAACUCUGUAUGGGAAUGUGUAAAUUCUUAUGUGUUUCAAGUUGCCCGCAAUAAAAUAGUUAAUAUUAUUUAA